rnacentral:misc_RNA from 1 species
GCUGAUUCAAUUCUUUCAAUUUCGGUUAGUUCUUUUGAACCUCCAAAAGUUAUUACUCUCUAUUUCUGAAUAUUAAUUCAGGUUCGCAGCCCUUCCUUUUUGGAAUUUGAGUUCAUAUCUUCUCGUUCUUGUUAAAUUCUGCUGUAGAAGCCUGUUCAUGAGAAUUUCAAUGUGAAAAUAGUUGAUGGGUUUAUGUUAAUUUUUUGUUCAACUAUGCGUGUGCUAUGGUAGGAAAAUUGGAUGUUGGUGCCCUUGGAUUCUUUCUCUUCUUCUUUGUGCCUGGUGUGUAACCUAUUUGUUAUAGCUGUAAAUCUCAUACAUUAUUUUCCAUAUAUGUUCUCAAGCAAUGGAUUGUUGGAGAGAGGGUAUUGCUUAUUACUAGGGAUGAGAAUCAAGUGAUGGGACUAUUAUUAUUAUUUUUCUCUUGUUCUUCUCAAUAGUUGCUUCAUGUAGAACUUCUUUGGAUAGUGUCCAGAAAACUGGAAACCACAUAGAAUGCAGUAGCAAGUUAAAUUGAGUUAUUUUUGACAUAUUGACAUAAUGAGUAUAAGUUCAUAGAGCCAUCGAAGCAAGGAUGAAGUUUAUUCAUGAAUUAGCUGUUACUGGGAUUUUCUAGAGGUUUUAAGGGAAUCUUGUUGCAACUUCAAAAUUAGAAGGGUAAAAAAUGUUUAGCAGUUUCAAGCUUUAUCAUGAAGGGUUCAAAAUUGAUGGUUGAAGAAUAUAAUUGACACAGUAUUUUUCCAUAUUUUCAUUAAAAAAAAAAAAAGGAAAGUACUGAAAUAUU